GCCGACUUCAAAAGCUCGUAUCUCCUCCAUCCGAGCUCCGUUUCAGGUGAUCUUGGUCUCGUUGGACUUCAUUUUUCACCGCGAACCUCGCUGUGGGCUCAAUGUGGGCUGAAUCUUGAGGCAUCAAAUUCUAACACUUGACUUAUAGAUUUUUGAUCGAAUUAAAGAGUUUAAUUCAAUCAUCAAUUAAAAAGGAUUCUAAUUGUUGAGCUCAGGUUAGCUCGAUUGGACCUUAAUCGAUUAGAUUGAAAUCUAAUCAAAUCAGAUCA
rnacentral:lncRNA from 1 species